UACAGGUCCAGUACGUGGUUUCUUACGC
rnacentral:sRNA from 1 species